CGGAUUCGAUUUUAGGAGGUCUUAGUUUUCGUAACCUCAAAAAUUAAGACGGGUCUUAAGUCCUAGGUCUUAGUUUUCGAGGGUCUUAGUUUUCGUAACACCCGCUUCGCGCAUGGUAAUGGUGCGAUACUUUGUCGAGCGAAUAUUGAAGAAGAAUACUGUCGUCCUGUCACGAACGUGGGACAAAGUAAAAAGUUCUGAACAAUCAAACCUCAGAUCUUUGGAUUCCGCGCUCCGAUGAUUUACCACAGAGACUAUGGUGAGCAAAGCCGUUACUCGCUUUAAGUGUGACAAGCGUCCCGCAAAAGAUGAAGGCGCUAGACAUGAGCGUGGACAAGACUGACAAAGAACCUGAGUCCCCAUGGGCAAUCAACGCGAACACGUGGGUAGUCAUUCACGUGGCUAGUCACUCACACAUGUGUGUAGAAGUCCUCCACAUCGACUCGUGCAGUUUAACCCACGUGGAAGGUUUACAUACAGUUUGGAGUAUAACUCACGUGGAAAGUUUUCUCGGUGGAAGGUUUACAUCCAGUUUGGAGUAAAACUCACGUUGAAAUUUUACGUCCAGUUUGCAUCACACAUCGUUGAGCUGUUUAUCUGCACAGCUUCUGGAUACCGUUUUUUGAGAGAAAAACAAUGCCGGUAAGUUUAAUGGUUUCUUUGUUUGCAAUCACCAAAUUCGACUGAGAAUAUCGACACAAGUCACACGCUUAAGCCACGUGUGGUGAGCACAGGUCACAACGUGAAUUUGAGAGAGCCAGCUACACUGAUAUUUAAUACAUGUAAGCAAAAAGUAUGUAAAAUUAGUUGAGACCAGUUUUCAUUCUGUACGAACUAGAUCGCUGAGUUUUCAGUCCAUGGGAAAAAAGACGGAAAGCAGUUCCUCUCUGCUGUUUAUGUCUUCAAAUAUUCUUCCUUCAGAAAGGCAGAAAUUGCUCGAGGUUGAUAGAACUGUAGAAAGUUGCUCCAAACGCCGAAAGUUGCUGAGCACAAUGGGACAGGCCUCGAUCCGUUGACACAUCUUCAAUCUAUGGCAUAAAACUAACAACUCAGCCUCAUGCACUGGCAGAGGAUAAACGAUCAUGACAGGAUUAGAGAGAAGAGAAGUGUUGUGAAUCAUUAGCUCCCGAAAUUCUUGAAUGGCUUGAGGGAAUGAGCUAGCUUUCAACAAGGAUUUCUUUACGUUUUAGAUCAGUAAUAGUCACUUGUUGAAGUGACUUCAGUUGCAUUUAAAUAUCAGUAUGAAAGUGUGACUUAGCUCAAACUAGACAUAAGUGCUUGAACUUCUCGGAUGAACUACGGAUUGAAUGAACGGCCAUCUUUGAAAACGAGGGAUGACACG